rnacentral:rRNA from 1 species
GCGGUGGAUUAUGUGGAUUAAUUCGAUGCAACGCGAAAACCUUACCUACCCUUGACAUGCUAGGAAGUCCGCAGAGAUGUGGAUGUGCCCGAAAGGGAACCUAGACACAGGUGCUGCAUGGCUGUCGUCAGCUCGUGUCGUGAGAUGUUGGGUUAAGUCCCGCAACGAGCGCAACCCUUGCCAUUAGUUGCGACAUUUAGUUGAGCACUCUAAUGGGACCGCCGGUGACAAACCGGAGGAAGGUGGGGAUGACGUCAAGUCCUCAUGGCCCUUAUGGGUAGGGCUUCACACGUAAUACAAUGGUCGGUACAGAGGGCUGCCAACCCGCGAGGGGGAGCUAAUCCCAGAAAGCCGAUCGUAGUCCGGAUUGUAGUCUGCAACUCGACUGCAUGAAGCCGGAAUCGCUAGUAAUCGCGGAUCAGCAUGUCGCGGUGAAUACGUUCCCGGGUCUU